rnacentral:rRNA from 1 species
GAUGAACGCUGGCGGCGUGCUUAACACAUGCAAGUCGAACGAUGAAGCCCAGCUUGCUGGGUGGAUUAGUGGCGAACGGGUGAGUAACACGUGAGUAACCUGCCCUUAACUCUGGGAUAAGCCUGGGAAACUGGGUCUAAUACCGGAUAGGAGCGUCCACCGCAUGGUGGGUGUUGGAAAGAUUUAUCGGUUUUGGAUGGACUCGCGGCCUAUCAGCUUGUUGGUGAGGUAAUGGCUCACCAAGGCGACGACGGGUAGCCGGCCUGAGAGGGUGACCGGCCACACUGGGACUGAGACACGGCCCAGACUCCUACGGGAGGCAGCACUGGGGAAUAUUGCACAAUGGGCGCAAGCCUGAUGCAGCGACGCCGCGUGAGGGAUGACGGCCUUCGGGUUGUAAACCUCUUUCAGUAGGGAAGAAGCGAAAGUGACGGUACCUGCAGAAGAAGCACCGGCUAACUACGUG